rnacentral:rRNA from 1 species
GACGAACGCUGGCGGCGUGCUUAACACAUGCAAGUCGAGCGGUAAGGCCCUUUCGGGGGUACACGAGCGGCGAACGGGUGAGUAACACGUGGGUGACCUGCCCUCAGCUCUGGGAUAAGCCUGGGAAACCGGGUCUAAUACUGGAUAUGACUCCAUGACGCAUGUUGUGGGGUGGAAAGCCUUGUGCGGCUGAGGAUGGGCCCGCGGCCUAUCAGCUUGUUGGUGGGGUGANGGCCUACCAAGGCGACGACGGGUAGCCGGCCUGAGAGGGCGACCGGCCACACUGGGACUGAGACACGGCCCAGACUCCUACGGGAGGCAGCAGUGGGGAAUCUUGCGCAAUGGGCGAAAGCCUGACGCAGCGACGCCGCGUGAGGGAUGACGGCCUGGUGUAACUACUUCUAGCUCCGACGAAGACGAGAGUGACGGUAGGAGCGAGAAGAAGAC